CCCUUAGAUGUUUUGGGCCGCACGCGUGCUACACUGAGUGGAUCAGCGGGUCAGGUUGCGCGAAAGUGUUUCCUAAUCUUGAAAUCCGCUCGUGAUGGGGAUUGACGGUUGCAAUUUUCCGUCAUGAACGAGGAAUACCUUGUAAGCGCGGGUCAUCAUCCCGCGCUGAAUACGUCCCUGCCCUUUGUACACACCGCCCGUCGCUCCUACCGAUUGAGUGGUCCGGUGAGGCUUUGGGAUCUGAGCGGAAAGAGCGUUUCGCUGUUUCUGCUCGGAAAACUCAGUCGAACCUUAUCAUUUAGAGGAAGGAGAAGUCGUAACA
rnacentral:rRNA from 1 species